UAAGAGUGCAGAGGAUUAAAUGCGGAAA
rnacentral:sRNA from 1 species